AAAGGCUAAAGUUGAUUUGCCAACUCUCCUUUCUCUCUCUAAAACCCCCUUUUUCCAAAUUCGUUUCUGCCUUCUCUCUAGCCUCCAUACUGAUUUAGCCAUUGCAUGUUCUGUUAGGUGGUACCCUAGCGACCGUCUCGUAGAGAGCUUCAAAAUCAUCCGAUUGAUUUUACGUUCUUCAACCGGGCACUGCUUAAGUUCUUCCCGGGGUAGGAUACUGUUGAAAGUUGUGUUGUGUGCUAGACUGCUCAACUUUAAGUAGGUGAUGAUGUACCUUUGGAGCAAGCUUUGGAAGUUGAGGAAGACCCAGCCCCUAGUACUUAGGAUUUCUACUAGCUCUUAUUUUAAACAGCUCUUUAUUUUGAAAGACUUCUAGCCUUCAUGUUAUCAUAAUCUGUAUUUUGGAAACACUCUUUAGGUCUCAUUGAAUCUUUAUUCAAUCAUGUAUUUUGGAGAAUUAUGAACUUGUACUUAAGUCUUAAAACUUCUCAGCCAGACUUAGAUAACUGUACUCCUUAAUCCUAUUUAUGGUGUACU